rnacentral:tRNA from 1 species
GCUCCGUUGGUGUAGUCCGGCCAAUCAUUUCGGAUUUUCGAUCCGAAGACCCGGGUUCAAAUCCCGGACGGAGCA